rnacentral:lncRNA from 1 species
UUAGCAAUUUUAGUUUGAAAAGUCUUAAUUUAUGUGAUGGUUGAAAAGUCAAAAAGAAAAGCGUUUGGAGAACACGUGUCAAUUUCGGAUUGGUGAAUUUCGUUUUAUUGCGUUGGUCAAUUAAACGAGUUGAAAUUUUAUACCAUGUCAGCCUUAGGAUAGAAAAUUCUUAGGAUUUUAGAAAUUGGAAAUUUCCGGGAACGAAAAACGAAAACGAAAAAUGAAAAAUAAAUAAAUUAAGAUUAAUUAGAAUUAAUUAAGAAAAAUUAAUUAAUUAAUUAAAUUAAAUUGAUGAAUAAUAAUAUUGAGAAAAUUAGUUUUUAUUUGGUGUUAAUAAAUAAAAUUGUGUGUUAAAAUGAAAAAAAAAUGAAUGAAAAAUGAAUUUGAAAUCAAAUGAAACAAUUAGAAUAAAGAAAAGAAAAGAAAAGAAAAUAAAAGAAAUAAUAACAAUAAUAAUGGAUUGGGCUUAGUUUUGAGUUGGGCUUGGAUUAAGUGG